rnacentral:rRNA from 1 species
GAUGAACGCUGGCGGCGUGCCUAAUACAUGCAAGUCGAGCGAACAGACGAGGAGCUUGCUCCUCUGACGUUAGCGGCGGACGGGUGAGUAACACGUGGAUAACCUACCUACAAGACUGGGAUAACUUCGGGAAACCGGAGCUAAUACCGGAUAAUAUAUUGAACCGCAUGGUUCAAUAGUGAAAGACGGUUUUGCUGUCACUUAUAGAUGGAUCCGCGCCGCAUUAGCUAGUUGGUAAGGUAACGGCUUACCAAGGCGACGAUGCGUAGCCGACCUGAGAGGGUGAUCGGCCACACUGGAACUGAGACACGGUCCAGACUCCUACGGGAGGCAGCAGUAGGGAAUCUUCCGCAAUGGGCGAAAGCCUGACGGAGCAACGCCGCGUGAGUGAUGAAGGUCUUCGGAUCGUAAAACUCUGUUAUUAGGGAAGAACAAAUGUGUAAGUAACUAUGCACGUCUUGACGGUACCUAAUCAGAAAGCCACGGCUAACUACGUG